rnacentral:rRNA from 1 species
UACGUAGGGUGCAAGCGUUAAUCGGAAUUACUGGGCGUAAAGCGUGCGCAGGCGGUGAUGUAAGACAGGUGUGAAAUCCCCGGGCUUAACCUGGGAAUGGCAUUUGGGACUGCAAGGCUCGAGUGCGGCAGAGGAGACUGGAAUUCCUGGUGUAGCAGUGAAAUGCGUAGAUAUCAGGAGGAAUACCGAUGGCGAAGGCAGGUCUCUGGGCUGGCACUGACGCUCAUGCACGAAAGCGUGGGGAGCAAACAGG